CUACACAUGCAGUCGAGCGGAUGAGCAGAGCUUGCUCUCUGAUUCAGCGGCGGACGGGUGAGUAAUGCCUAGGAAUCUGCCUGGUAGUGGGGGACAACGUCUCGAAAGGGACGCUAAUACCGCAUACGUCCUACGGGAGAAAGCAGGGGACCUUCGGGCCUUGCGCUAUCAGAUGAGCCUAGGUCGGAUUAGCUAGUUGGUGAGGUAAUGGCUCACCAAGGCGACGAUCCGUAACUGGUCUGAGAGGAUGAUCAGUCACACUGGAACUGAGACACGGUCCACACUCCUACGGGAGGCAGCAGUGGGGAAUAUUGGACAAUGGGCGAAAGCCUGAUCCAGCCAUGCCGCGUGUGUGAAGAAGGUCUUCGGAUUGUAAAGCACUUUAAGUUGGGAGGAAGGGCAGUAAGCGAAUACCUUGCUGUUUUGACGUUACCGACAGAAUAAGCACCGGCUAACUCUGUGCCAGCAGCCGCGGUAAUACAGAGGGUGCAAGCGUUAAUCGGAAUUACUGGGCGUAAAGCGCGCGUAGGUGGUUUGUUAAGUUGAAUGUGAAAUCCCCGGGCUCAACCUG
rnacentral:rRNA from 1 species